AGUGAACGCUGGCGGUAGGCCUAACACAUGCAAGUCGAACGGCAGCACAGUAAGAGCUUGCUCUUACGGGUGGCGAGUGGCGGACGGGUGAGGAAUACAUCGGAAUCUACUUUUUCGUGGGGGAUAACGUAGGGAAACUUACGCUAAUACCGCAUACGACCUACGGGUGAAAGCAGGGGAUCUUCGGACCUUGCGCGAUUGAAUGAGCCGAUGUCGGAUUAGCUAGUUUGCGGGGUAAAGGCCCACCAAGGCGACGAUCCGUAGCUGGUCUGAGAGGAUGAUCAGCCACACUGGAACUGAGACACGGUACAGACUCCUACGGGAGGAAGCAGUGGGGAAUAUUGGACAAUGGGCGCAAGCCUGAUCCAGCCAUACCGCGUGGGUGAAGAAGGCCUUCGGGUUGUAAAGCCCUUUUGUUGGGAAAGAAAAGCAGCAGGUUAAUACCCCGCUGUUCUGACGGUACCCAAAGAAUAAGCACCGGCUAACUUCGUG
rnacentral:rRNA from 1 species